GGAGCCGGACAGGCUGUCGCUGCGAUCAUUGAUCGGAGAGGAAAGUCCGGGCUCCGCAGGGCAGAACGCUGGGUAACUCCCAGGGGGAGCGAUCCCCGUCAAGUGCAACAGAAAGCAGACCGCCUCCGGGGAAACCCGGCGGUAAGGGUGAAACGGUGGGGUAAGAGCCCACCGGCUGUCGUGGUGACACGGCAGGCCAGGUGAACUCCGUUCGGAGCAAGACCAAAUAGGGUAGCGUUAUGAGGCCGGCCCGGCCCAGGCUACCGGGUAGGUUGCUUGAGGCGGCUGGUAACAGCCGUCCUAGAUGAAUGACAGCCGCCCCUUCGGGGGCACAGAACCCGGCUUACAGGCCGACUCCAAAC
rnacentral:RNase_P_RNA from 5 species